GAUGUAAUUGCAGUUGUCUGUCAUAGUAAUUAUUAGUAGAGUUGUUUUGACUAUAUUAGAUCUGUCAGAGAAUCGCCUCUCGUCUGACACCGCGCCAGGUGUAAAAUUGGAAUAAUAUGUCAGACACUCAUUGGAUGUCAUCAAUACAUAGGUAAGACCAUUUCAUACGUACAAUUCAGAUAUAUAUUACAGCCUUGUGAUUAACUAUGAUCAUUACUUAUAAAAACAAUAUUACUUUCAGUUUUAUUACACCUUUCUGUGCUGUGAUAAUAGACAAGUUCAAAAAACGAAAAAGAGAAAAGAACAACUGAAAAGGCAAUUAUACAAUCUUGUACUCUUAUAUGUGAUUCCUUUCCAGUUUUAACACUUUUUAAAACAUUGGUUCAUUAAUAUGACGUGAUAAACAUCCAGAACGAACUUAUAUUUGAUGUACGAAACACAUUAUUUUGAUGAUAAAAAGGAUUUAAUUGGUUUUUUUUUUUUGGAGUGGCUACCAAGUAUUUGCCGUCCAUCCAAAUGGACAGAAUCAGGAAAUUAUGUGUUGAGCUAAAUGAAAAUAAGUAAUUAACUUAUUUACAUUUCUAUUUUAAUUUGGUAUGGAAUAUAGGGACGUUACUUUUCUAUCGUAGAAAUUUUAUCUUAGAAAAAAGAGGAUGCAUUUAUGUCAAUUAGACUACAACUUUAAGAACACAAUAAAACGAGAAGGGAGAUCUAAAGGUCAGAACAUGGUCUUCAACAAUAGACAUAUUAUGUCCACACCACAUGUGAAAUAUUAAAUCGACCGAUAUAUAUAUUUCUUCAGCUCAAAUCGACCAUACUUUAACUCUUUAGAGAUGCAAGUCCGAACCGGGCAAACAGUUAUGAUUGUUUUUCCAUACAGCUUACUGAACAAAACAUCAUCAACGCUAUUUAUAUCCUUGUUGUUCAAUCAAUUAAUUUACGGACUGCGUUUAUGUCAAUGCUUAGGUCGAAAAUAAUAUUUUCUUUGAAACACAUUUGCAUUUUAGUUAUAGUAUAUAUAUGUUGUUAACUAUUGUUACUGUAUACCAAUAUUUUUGUGCGUUUACAAGUUGUUUUGGGAUUUUGUGGGUUGUUGAAACAAACUAAAUAACUAUUUAAAAAAAAAGUUNNNNNNNNNNNNNNNNNNNNNNNNNNNNNNNNNNNNNNNNNNNNNNNNNNNNNNNNNNNNNNNNNNNNNNNNNNNNNNNNNNNNNNNNNNNNNNNNNNNNNNNNNNNNNNNNNNNNNNNNNNNNNNNNNNNNNNNNNNNNNNNNNNNNNNNNNNNNNNNNNNNNNNNNNNNNNNNNNNNNNNNNNNNNNNNNNNNNNNNNNNNNNNNNNNNNNNNNNNNNNNNNNNNNNNNNNNNNNNNNNNNNNNNNNNNNNNNNNNNNNNNNNNNNNNNNNNNNNNNNNNNNNNNNNNNNNNNNNNNNNNNNNNNNNNNNNNNNNNNNNNNNNNNNNNNNNNNNNNNNNNNNNNNNNNNNNNNNNNNNNNNNNNNNNNNNNNNNNNNNNNNNNNNNNNNNNNNNNNNNNNNNNNNNNNNNNNNNNNNNNNNNNNNNNNNNNNNNNNNNNNNNNNNNNNNNNNNNNNNNNNNNNNNNNNNNNNNNNNNNNNNNNNNNNNNNNNNNNNNNNNNNNNNNNNNNNNNNNNNNNNNNNNNNNNNNNNNNNNNNNNNNNNNNNNNNNNNNNNNNNNNNNNNNNNNNNNNNNNNNNNNNNNNNNNNNNNNNNNNNNNNNNNNNNNNNNNNNNNNNNNNNNNNNNNNNNNNNNNNNNNNNNNNNNNNNNNNNNNNNNNNNNNNNNNNNNNNNNNNNNNNNNNNNNNNNNNNNNNNNNNNNNNNNNNNNNNNNNNNNNNNNNNNNNNNNNNNNNNNNNNNNNNNNNNNNNNNNNNNNNNNNNNNNNNNNNNNNNNNNNNNNNNNNNNNNNNNNNNNNNNNNNNNNNNNNNNNNNNNNNNNNNNNNNNNNNNNNNNNNNNNNNNNNNNNNNNNNNNNNNNNNNNNNNNNNNNNNNNNNNNNNNNNNNNNNNNNNNNNNNNNNNNNNNNNNNNNNNNNNNNNNNNNNNNNNNNNNNNNNNNNNNNNNNNNNNNNNNNNNNNNNNNNNNNNNNNNNNNNNNNNNNNNNNNNNNNNNNNNNAGAGUCAAGGGGGGGUUACCCACCCCUUUCAAUUUGAGAAUUUUAUAUCUUGUAAACGGUCAAUCCCCUACCCUAAACCAUAUUAUUCUCUGUAGGGACAAUAAAAACAAAUCAAAUGAAAUGAAGAAUCCCUGGGGUCACCCCACCCCAUUCCAAUUGAGAAUGAUGUGCAUUAUCUUGUUAACGGUCCAAUCCCCACCCCUAAACCAAUAUAUCUCUGUAGGACAAAAUAACAAUAAAAUGAAAUAAAAGGGAGUCGCCUAGGUCACCCACCCUCUUGUUUGAAAAUUCAUAACAUUCAGCAAGCUGUAAACGGUCCAUAUCCCCACCCCUAAACCAUAUUAUCCUUUAUGGAACAAUAAAAACAUAAAUGAAAUUUAGGGAGAGUCCAGGGGGGGGUUACCCCCCCCCUAAUUGAGAAUGUUCUAUUAUGUAAACGGUCCAGAUCCCACCCCUAACCAUAUAUUCUUGUAGGGACAAUAAAACAAAUCAAAUGAAAUUGAAGGGAAGUCCCUGGGGUACCCCACUCCAUCAAUUUGAAAAUGUGCUAUUAUCUUGUAAACGGUCCAGAUCCACCCCUAAAACCAUAUAUAUUCUUGUAGGGGACAAUGAAACAAAUGAAAUGAAAUAAAAGGGAACUUGAGUCCCUAGGAUGUCACCCCACCCCUCUUGUUUGAAAACUUGUAAACAGUCAAGAUCCCCACCCUUAAACCAUUUAUUCUUGUAUGGGACAAAUAAACAAAUCAAAUGCAUAUGGGAGCUUUGUUUGGGAGACUUCGUAACAGCAUCCUGUUACAAUUACUUCUUGUUAUAUUUAGUUUUGUACAUUUUAAAGUGAAAUGAAAUUCAUCUUCUACUUCUAAGAGACACAAAGGACAAAUUCUUCUUCUACAGGGGUUUUAGUGUGACGCCCUUGUUCAAUUCUAAGAACACUAUUACUAAUGCGAAUUUUAGCAAAAUGUCCUAUUACUUUUUGUCUAUAUUUAACAAUAGAUGGGUUUCCAAUUUAUAAUUUUCUUUAAGCUGUCUAUAUGUUCUCAGCUUACCGUGUACUGAUUUAGAUCUUUCCAAUAAUUAAGAUAUCUAUCAUUAAGUUUGGUUUGAAUUGCAUAUAAUAAACGCCUUUUUGAAAUAGUAUCAUGAUUUUUCCAAACAUGUGAAAAAUUUAAUGUAGAAAGACGUAACAGUUCAAUCUUUUUAGCAAUUCCAUUGGUUACUGAAUUGCAGGUUUGAACAAUAUAUGUGUCGAGUGUGAUCGCUUGAUAUUUCAACAAACAUCACAAUAAGCAAAGAUUCAAAUGAAAAAGCACACAUAUAAGCAUGAAAUAAAAUAAAAGAACAUUAUCAUCUAAAAAAAAGCACACACAAGCACCCGAUUAAAGACCAAGAGCACAACAAUGUUAUAUUACCAUACCCAUUGUGCCUAGAAUAAAAAGUAUUUAGGUAAAAGCAACCUUAUAAUUCACACCCCAAGCAGAAAACAUUAUUACAAGCACAUAACCAUACAUAUAGCCAAAAAGCAUGUAGUAAAAUCAGGUAGUCAAAAAAGUAAAACAGAUAAGCAAAAACAAAAUGAAUAACAUUUAGAAUUGAGACAGCAAUAUUUUCUAUAAACAGGCACUGCCUGCAAAACAUGUUUGUGCCACCACACAAGCUAGAUAGGUAAUUCUUAGACGGGUAAAUGAGGCCACAUUUUUGGCCUUAUUUGGCAGUUUGUAUCAAAAUCGUGCUGCUACAUAUUUCAUAUCGAAGAGAGUGUUUGCUAUACCAUUCGUUGAAGUGCUAUACACGUUGCAUGGAACAUAUCUCAUGCACACGGUGCAACACAUUUUGAGAAACACCAUUUAUCAUCACAAUUUAUAAGUUUGCUAUAUGACUCGUUAUCUAUAUGUGUACCACUAGGUGACAAUCAUCACAUUGUUUGUUUUUAUCGUUCGUUUUAUAAGUGUUUGGCAUAUGAAACAGCUGUUUUUUUGAAUUUGUAUCAAAUGUUUUAGAAAAUAAUCAACGAAAGCUUUUGUAUCGUGUGUCCUUCUUUUUUAUGAUCUUUUCAGCUGUAGUAUUUAUAAUUGCACUUUGCAAAUAUGUUCGACUCCAAUUUUAUUUGACUAUGAUUGGUGGUUCUCACAUGGUAUCCCGGCUUGCUUCCAGCACCAAUACAAAACACGAGUAGUUACCACAAUGUAACAAAUAAUGCUAAAAUGGCGCUGAAUACUAGCAAUCAAUCAAUUAAUUUGUUUUCUACAAGUGGCGGAAUACAAAUAUAAGACAUAUAAGGGUGUGUGGUAUGAAUGCAAAUGAGACAACUACCCAACAGAGAUCCAACGAACGAGGGUCUAAAAAACUUUAUGGCACCGUAAGUCUUCAGCAAUGGGCAAAACAUAAAGAUGUUAGCUAAAACUUACCUCCGAUCAUCUUCCUAUAUAUGAGCCAUAGAAAACGGACUAGAUUCUACAAUACCAAUCAAAACAAACAUCACUUCACAGUAAGCUUGUACAGACCACCCAGCUGAUAAUUAGUGACCGACUGGACAAAAAUGAAAAAAAUCAAAAGUAAAAUCCAUUCGCAGCAAUGUAGAAAUGAACUAGACGAUUUUUACAUGGCGAUCCAUGCUCCAUUAAGACACUAAUUCCUGUCUCUGCGAUAGCGAUUAACAAUCGCUUAUCGAUAUAUAAUUACCAAAAACUAGCACCGAACAGCUUGUGCUAUUUCCAGGCAGAGAAAACAAGAUUAUAUAUAACUUAUAAUAAAGACGUUACCUAAUCAGUUCACCGACAUUCCUACACCAGAUAGAGCGACCAUGAAAUAGUUAUGGGUACACUGUAAUGUAGUGCCGAGGAAAUAUAGACCUGUAAGACCGUACUAUCAAUAUUCAAAAGGGGACUACAAUCAAAUGAAGGAAGACAAUAUAUGUCACCAGUGACAAAUAUUUUAAUGGUCAUCAACACAACAUAUUUGUAGACGAAUUAUCCACCUUUGAUACAUUUGGAAAGAAUAAACCAAAGAAAAAAAUAGGUUCGAUAUCAGCCCAAGAGUCGCAUGGAAAUAUGACAAAUGCCAUGUAAUAAUCUGAUAUUAUAGUAUGAAUAGCAGUACUGUAUUUGAAUAUUUAACACAGUGACGCGUCAAGUGGGAUUUAACGCGUCGCCAGUAAAACUGCAUUUGCAACCGUCAAAUCGUAAAAUGUUUUAACAAUGGAGAAAAAUAACAGAUUGAUAUAUUGAUCCUUUAACGUGGUUCCCAAAUAGAAGUUCAUAAGAGCGAAAAGUUCACGGACGUCGGACCUCAAAUUUAGUACAUUCGAUAUGAAAUCUUUCUAUCAUAUGCCUCAACAGAGCAGAAAAACAUUUUAAUGUGGACGAAUAAUAUGCAUAAUGAACUUUUUUUAAAGUAACUUUCUAAAAUAUGUUUGAAACUUUAAAAAAAAAACUUUUAUUUAAUAAUUUGUGCAGGUUUUUUUUUGUUUGUUUUUGUUUGUUUUUAUUAUUUUACACAAUACACUUUCCAGUAUCCAAAUAUUUGGUGUGUACAGAGACAUAUAUUUCAUGAUAUGUCUCUGGUUUGUACAAUACUUAUUAAUGUUUUUUCACUUAAAACGUAGCAUUAAGGUGUAUUUUCCGGAAUUUGCCGAGUAUCAUCGGAAUGCCAUGCAAUAACGUUACGGAAAGGCAUGUGAUAACAGUCGAAGCAUGUGAUAAACUUUCCAUAUCAGCCUGCUAAGCACCAAUUCGUAAAAUAUGGAAUUUACGUAAAUUUUAAUGCUACUAUGAUAUCAUACAGUAAAAUUCAUAUGUUAUUUAGUCUAAGUAUAUGAUAAUGCAUUACAACAAGAACUAGUACAGUGUUAUAUUCAAAAUCCGCUUUUUUACUAUGACGUAAUAGCAGAAGCAUCGUGAUAUAAGCAGUUUACUGGAAAGUGCGCGAAUUCGAAAGUCAUCUAUGAGUCUCAUAUAAAACGUUAUUUGGUCGUGACGUUAUAUAUAGAAUGACGUCGUAGAACUUUUGCAUUUGACGUCACAGACUUCGAUCUGCCGUAUGUAAUGACAAAUCGAAUGCACCAAUCAAGCUAGAGGCAUUCAGAUGACUAAGGCGUGAGUAAAACAUAACAAAUACAAAGCACACUGAAAACUCAAGAGUUCCAAGUAAAACCAUAACAGGGGCAAAGACUAGUCGUGUAUUUCAUGUAAAUAUGGAUUUGGUAACGUAUCAUUUAUAAAGGUAACAUCUUUGCCGUAUUAGCUUGCUUGCAUGCAAGCUGAACUAUGAAGUUAUUAUUGGGUUAGAUAUACUACCUUCUUUUGAGAGUAGACUAGUAGGACAAAUAACCAACCAAUUUGUCUGUAGGACUAGACUACUCCGAAAGGGUGAUGUAUACCUAACCUCGUAAUGAUUUCACGGUUCAGCUACCAAGAAAGCUUACUUAACUACACACUCAAAACAUUUUGCUGUAAUUGAUAUAUCCCUUUGAUAUCUUUCGCCUCUUUAAAAAGCCGUAAGUUGUUCGCUCUCUUCUUAUUCAUUUAUGGUGAAACUCAUAUCUGAUUCAUCCAUGAAAAGAUACAAAUCAAGGUUAAACAAAGACUGAAGAAAUUGCAGAUAAGGUUCUGUUGUUAUUCAUGCAUACUAUUUGGAAACCCUGGUGCAAUACCUUCAUUGUGAGCAACAUCCAUCCCUCUGUUAAGAAAAACACGAAAGGAGUCACUCAACUGGGAAUUGUUUUCUCCAUAAGAAGACGCUGCUUAGAAAUGAAACAAUGGCAAAACUGUUUUAUUAUAAAUGUAGCAAUUAUGUACCAAAUGAAAUACAUGCAACUGAAAAAAAUGUCGAUAGAAUCAAACAAAAAUCACUUUAUCUUAUUAGAAGUGCGUUUUAACAAUAUUCGGAUUAUUAAAACUAAAUACCAUGACAAAAAACUAUUGCAGUCCCAUGAAGAAACCCACGAGGGAAUAACAAUUGGUAGUUUAUAUUAGAAAUACAAUGAUAAUUUAUAAAUGUUGACUUGCACAUACAAAUUCUAUAUUAUAACAGAAAAAAACUCCCCCCCCCCCUCCCCCCCCCCCCCCGAAAAAAAGACUUCAUGUUCACUUUUUUUCAAAAGCUUUCUUUUUCAAUCAAACCUUUUUAAUAAUUGCUUGUAUUUUUGAGCAAUUGAUUUUUCUUUUCAAUAGUAUCAAGUUAUAUACAGUAAUGCUACCAAUAUGCAUUUCCAUGUUAUUAAACAGAUCAGUAAAAUACAAGUGUUGAACAUGUUUAUUGGCAUAAAGCAUUGAUCUUAAAGAUUUAUAUGUGUCUUACUAUUUUUCCUUAUCCAUUGCUUUCAUCACUCGGCAUAAUUUCUUACUAAAUAAACAAUAAUUCUACGCGUUUAUCGUUAACAUGACGUAUCUCUCGUGUUGUAUGUUUUAUAUAUUGUUUUUUGAUUAUUUUAUAUCUGAAGUCCAUUACUCUGAACGUUUAUAUAUUCCACCUCACCGUUUCUGUAAUUAUCAACUAUUGCGUUGAUGCUUUGAUCACACUUGACACUUCCUGUUUACCGAACAUGUGAUGUUGAAAAUUUGUCCAUUUUUCUCUUACAAAGGAUUUCUGAAAUCAUAUAACUAUAACAUUUUGAUCAAUACUCAUAACUUGCAUUAAUAUUUUUGUAUCAACGAAAACAUCUUUAUAGGAAUGAAAAAUAAUUCGGUAGAUUGUUUCUAUUUUGUUUGAUGAAUGUCAUGUAAUCUGUUAUAGUUUCUGCUAUUUUCAGAAAUUUGCCUUGAAAUAAUUUAAAUGUUACCAAAGUUUAUUAUAGUAGAUCUAUAUGAACAGAAAUAUUUUCGUAUAUGUAAUAUAUGUUAUGGUUUACAGAUCAAUACCUUUCUUGUAUGUAAAGUCUCAGUGUUUAUGAUGCGCAUUGGAUCACGAAAAACAAUUUGGGGUCACCAACUUUAAAAAAGGUUAACCACGAAAAAAUUAAAUAACAAAAUUACCGAACUCCGAUGAAAAUUCUAAACGGAAAUUCCCUAAGCAAAUGGCAAAAUCAGAAGCCCAAACACUGCGAACGAAUGAACAACAAUUGUCGGCGAACUCCUUUUCAUAUAUGGAAAAGAAGCAAUUUGUACCAUAUUUUCGUCAAUUUGGCAGCCUUGGGGCUGAUAAAAUGAACUAGGGCUGAUUGGGGGUCUGAUAUGAAAAAUGGCAUGUUAAAGUAUAUUUAAAUUCUUUUAUGGCAAAGACUUUCAUAGCUAUCAUUUCCCGUUGCUGUAAAAAAAAAAUCCGCGACCUUCUCUGACGGUCUGUAUUACAGGACCUGUAUUUAUUGUGAAUUUGUUCUCGUCCUGAACAGUGAACAUGCAUGAAAUACUUGCCACUGGACGUCAAUCAACCAAUCAUUACUUUUGUCUAAACUAUGUUGCUUAAAUUUGGCAAAUAAACUGAUAUUAAACUAAUUCUAUACCUUAACAAUUUAGAUUGAAAGUGUCAGGAUAAACACCUGAACUAAUUGCAAUUAAAACAGAAAAGAAUAUGGUGCACUGACAUUUGGAAAACAGACAAUAACGAAACGGAAGCAUUGAAACAAACAAUAUUUUUCAGAACAAAAAAUGAAUGAAUGUUUUUAGCAUCGAUGUAAAAAGUAAAUAGACAGCUGAAAUGAAAACGUAUCUUCUGUUUGAACUGUUCAGUUGGUAUUCCGAUCAAGGAUGUCUAUAAUUUAAAAACAUAUGUCAACUUAUUUUUGGUAUGUUGCAUAACUAAGAUGAUUGAUAAAACAUUCGGAAUAAUUAUAUUUAGAUUAUUUUAUUGUUGCUCACAAGGAAGUAAUUGAGUUCAAGUUUUUUGUGACGCAGGUUUUUGAACAAUUUACCAUAAAUUUUAUCCAUUGUGAGUUUAGUUAACAGCUAUUUUAUUGGUUCAUUGAGAAAUUGAAGGUUGGUUACAUGUGCCAACCGUCUUUAAACAAGGGAAUCGAGUUCCUAUAAAACGGUUGCAUAAGUUGGUCUGCCAAAGUAAUUCCUUUCAACUAACGCGAGUAAUACAUUGCACUAAUACUUUAUUUAAAAAAAUAAUCUGCCACAAACACGUCUAAAACAAGAGGUAAACAUAUCCAAGUACAGUCACAUUAGAUCAUAAAAUAAAAUAAAAUAACUCUAAAAUGGAAUAUAUUAAUAAUUACUAUACUUUAUCAUACUUUUGCUAACUUUGAAACGAUUAAAGAUAUAUUUUAGUACCUUUAUAUUACCCAAUAUAAGCAAUCCUUUCAUUUUUGUUGUGCUUGGAUAUUUUACAUAGUACUUCGGAAUGUCACUAACGCUCUGAAAGCAAAGAGUAACUGUCUCAUACUUCAUAUGGUUUCUGGUGGAAAGUUGUCUCAUUGGUAAAUAUAGCACAUCCUAUUUUAAUAUUUGUAUAUACUUACAAAAAUCUCGAAAGGGAUUAUAAGUGAUGCAUGUUUUAUUGCUCAACGGUUUGUUUGUCGCCAAAUGAAGGACUCUGGUCCCGAUCGUUGCAAACAUUGAAAGAUGUGAUAGCCUUAUCAACUUUUUGACAGAUUUUUUCAAAUUAUAGUGAAACAAUAUGAACCACAUUAAGUUCUUGCUGUGUUUACGUUAUCGUUGAACGGUUCUCGUUGUGGGAAUUAUAAAGUUGCUUCAAAGAUGUUGUUUUUUCUGGACUUACUUUCAUCCAGAACACUUGUCCUUAGUUUUCAAGGUUAUGAACCGAAAUGCAAAUCGGACAUACAAUUCUCCUUUGAGAUGUAUUUAAGAAUUCAUAUAUUUUCACCUUCGGUUAUUUAGAUCAAUUGAAUCAAGCAGGCAUAUUAAAGCGACUAUCAAUAUUUCUUAUCUAGAGAACAAGUUUCAUCAUUGAUUAUAUACUUGGUUAAACCAACUGAACGAUAUAGCUGUUGUAUAAAUCUUUAGCUUCAUCCUGUGACACGACUUAUUAUAUCAUGGAACGAUGAUCUAUUUGUAAUAGCUAAUUAUAAGACACUUAAAUUGAUUUGGUGCAAUAUAUGCGCUUUUCGAAAAUUUAUUUUGGUUAGUUGUGCUUGGAACCAAUUAUUGAAAAUGAAGGUAAGUAUAAGAGUAUAAUGUACCCAGAAUAAUACUCAAAAACUAAGGUGAGAAAUAACGUUUGUUUUUUUUUUUUCAUUUGAAUUGUUAUACAUUUGUGAUUUCGGGGUUUUUCAUAGCUGACUAUGCGAUAUGGGCUUUGUUCAUUGUUGAAGGCCGCUUACGUUGACCUAGAGCUGUCAAUAUCUGUGUAAUUUGAUUUUUUGUGGAGAAUUGUCUCAUUGACAAUCUUAUCACAUCUUCUUUUAAACCCAGUAGUCAGCACUUUUUGUGCUGACAUGAAUUGUCAUUGAUAUGGUUAUAUUUAUAAAUUUACUGUUUACAAAUUUUUGAAUUUUUUGAAUUACUAAGGCUUUUCUACCUCAGACAUAGAUCACCUUAGCUGUAUUUGGCAAAACUUUUAGGAAUUUUGGUUCUCAACACUCUUCAACUUCGUACUUUAUUUUAACUUUUUUGGAUUCGAGCGUCACUGAUGAGUCUUUUGUAGACGAAACGCGCGUUCUGGCGUAUAUACUAAAUGUUAUCCUGGUAUCUAUGAUGAGUUUAUUUAUAUAUACAAUAUUUGGAGGAUACUAUAAGAACUUAGCAAAUUUUAAUCAUUUUGUCCAUUACAAAUUGCGGGGGAGACAUUCUGAUUUUUCAUCGAAUAAAAUUAUCUAUAAUUUUAGAGUUUUUGUGAAGUUUUAUUGUUGGUUUAAUUUUUUGUCGACAUUUACCCUAUAUUUGCUUGUAAUUACAUAAAUAAAAAAGGCACAGCAUACUGGUCCUUCUACAAAUAGGUUAGACUUAAAAGCUCAAGAAAAUAAUAUUCUGAUUUUCUUUAUUAAAAAAGUAAUGAUUUUGUUUUCAAGUAAGCAACACAUCCUGACCUUUUGGAAAAAUAAUGACCGGCUUGAAUUGAGUCACUUAUCCUUCAUAUGAGUUAUUCAGCCAAUUGAAAAAUGUUGGCACAAAGUUAGUUAAAUGUUUUUCUAAGGGAACAACUAUUUAUAUUUGAAAAAGGAGGUAUGGUUGUUUGUCUGAAUCAGAUUAAUGUUUUUUUUUAUUGUGAGUAUACUAUACUGUUAUUUGAAAGCAAAUUUGUGUAAUAAUUUAAAAGUACUGACUACUGGGCUUGUACGUCGUUAAACGUUUUACCUGAUUGUACUACACAUUAAAAGUAGAUAGUAGUUAGAACAAUAAUUUCAAAGUAUAUAUAUAAUGUAAAAGUACCGCAUAAAUAGAUACGUUUUAGUACAAAUUUAUAGUAGUACAAAAGCACACAUUCACAUGUAGCUGUGUAUGUCUUUGAUUAGUCACUGGUUAAAUGAUGACCGAAUACACCUUCGCUGGAACAUUCUUAUCUUAUGUUAAUUAGAUAAAAUAUUUCGAAAAAAAAAUUAUGUUCAAAUAAGAAAGCACUGGAUUUAAAUCUAUUUAAAAUGUUUUAAGACGAGCUAUGCAGUAAAAAGCGUGUUUUAUUUACAAUAUGUCUUAUUGAAAACAAGAAUGUGUCCAUAGUACACGGAUGCCCCACUCCCACUAUCAUUUUCUAUGUUCAGUGGACCGUGAAAUUGGGGUCAAAACUUUAAUUUGGAAUUAAAAUUAGAAAGAUCAUAUCAUAGGGAACAUGUGUACUAAGCUUCAAGUUGAUGUAACUUUAACUUCAUCAAAAACUACCUUGACCAAAAACUUUAACCUGAACUUUGCACUAUCAUUUUCUAUGUUCAGUGGACCAUGAAAUUGGGGUCAAAACUAUAAUUUGGCAUUAAAAUUAGAAAGAUCAUAUCACGGGGAACAUGUGUAUUAAGUUUCAAGUUGAUUGGACUUCAGCUUCAUCAAAAACUACCUCGACCAAAAACUUUAACCGGACGGACGAACGGACGGACGGACGCACGAACGGACGAACGGAGGCACAGACCAGAAAACAUAAUGCCCCUCUACUAUCGUAGGUGGGGCAUAAAAACAUGAUAUGAAGUUUUUCUAAAACUGAUUUAAGUGUGUGUAAUGUAUGUACACACUACAACUUUUUCAGCAACACAAUGCUUAAUUCUAAAAGCUCAAAACACAUUCAUUCUGUAGGCCUAACAAUUUACUGACAGAUGAUGUAAAAUAGAGAUAUGGAACACCACAAUUAAUAAAUGCUCAUUUUUUCUAGGUUAAGCAGGUCCGUUCCACAGAGAUUUACAACGGAUUAAAUUAUAAAUUCCUUGUAAUUUCUACAACCGAAAAUGUGAAUUCUGUCAACAAAGUACACUAACUUUGUCUAAUUGCCAAUGUAAUUAAGUGAUGCAGUUUUCACAGCAUAGGCAAUUACUUUGGUACCAAUCCAUUGGGGUGCUAACGCAUGUCAUUCUACAUAUCUAACGUGGGGGAGGCAGUUAGACAAACAUUACGAGCCUUACAUAUAAAUAUAGGAUAAUCAUAGUCAGUCCUAAUUAUGUCUCAUUAAUAUACCGGGGAUCCAAACAGAAUCUUUAAAGUAUGAUUACAUCUUAUAAUGUCUUUUAUCUUAAGCAUACACGUUUUUGUCAUUAAUUUAUCAUUUUAAAUAUUGAUGGAAUGCCUAAGUUACGUAAGAGUAAUGUCAGUUUUAAUUGUAAGAUGUAUAAUUCACUUUAACAUUGGUGCCUCCUUGUGGAUCCUCACUAUAACUAAGUACUGAAGCUAAGUACUGACACAAUGCAACAUCCCAAGGUUAGAUGUGGAAAUUGUGGGGAAAUAGAACUAGACUUUCAAUGAAUUCUGAUGUGAAUAAUAGGAAAUGUAUUACCUUAAUGAAUUCAUCAAAUAACGGUAAGAGAUGUACAAAAUGUCGAUAUUCCAUGGAUUCAUUCUUUAUGGGUUUUUUCUUUAGAAACCGAACUAGUUUUUUUCAUCACAUAGCCGAUAUCAUCAUAUCGUUUAUUUAACAUAAACCUUUCAUUUAUUUUUAAGUUAGUAACUUUAUUAUUCCAACUAGACAUUUUGAUGAUUAAUUAUUUUCGACAUAUUGUACUUUAAAUCUUGAAUCAUCUCUUAUAUAAAUUCCUUCCAGUUAUAUUGCAUAGACCGAUAACUAUUGAAAUUUGCGAUUGUUUCAUUGAUAUCAUCGAUUUGUUGGUGUUAUCUUUAAAGAUUUUUAGUUUAGAUUUUAUACACUUGAACUGCAACCAAGUUUUUCGUUUUAAAACCCCCCAAAUUGUAGCUUAAAGACACUAAAUUUGCAUUUGAAAGACAUGUGCUUGCCUCCUUGGUGUCAGUAAUCACAUAAUCACAAAUAUUUUGCCAAUAUAUUUACAUAAUCAUAAAUUAUUUUUUGAACAAGAUAACCAAAUAAUCAAAAAUACAGUCCUAGAUUAUCAAGUAAUCAAAUAAUCAUGAAAUAUUUGGUGUGGUACUCAAAUAAUCACUAUAAAAAGGGCCAAGUAAUCACAUAUUUAAAAACUCCAUGAGGAGGCACCUUCUUGGGAGGUUGUAUUUGCACAGAAAUACUUUUUUCUCAGUGAGAUAAUAUAAUGCAAAACACUAACUGUCAUUUCGCAGAGGAAAGUUUGCCAAAAUGUUAAACAAAAGAGCGGAGGUUAUAAAUGAUCAGCAGCAGUACUAAUGUUACAAUAUCUCACAAGCAAAAAAACAAACAAAAACAAACUAUUUAACAAUAUACAUAUCAUGCUAUCCUAAAUUAUGAAUAAAUAGAGAAAUCAGUAAGAGAUCUUGUCUGGACAUUGUUCUAUUUGAUGAGCAUUGCAUAAAAAAUGUAGUAUAAUCGUGGGUACUUGUAAAAAUUUAUAUAAUCAUUUACUGAACUAACCAAACAACAGUAACCACUGCAUUACAUGCUUCUGACUGGGCACACGCACACUGAACAGUUGGUGAUGCAUAGCGAUAAACUCUCCCAUAAACUAGGACAUUGUUGUAACAGCACAAAAUAAGAAAAAGAUGGUAAAAGUUAGACUUGACACCUGUACUUCCCCCUCAAAAAAAAAAAUCGAACCCAAACACAAACAAAAUAAUAAAAACGAAAUCAAUAAACUAAAACAGCAAUAUAAAAGUACUCACAGUUACUGAUUUUUAACUAGUUCAAAGCCAUUUUUAACUACUAAAUACAGCAUGUUUUUUCAAGAUUAUCAUAAAAUAUCAGCCGAAACACUGUAAAAACGUCCAAAACAGUCAUAGAAAAGCACGAUCUUGAGAAAAGUCAAUUUAUAAAUAAACACAUGAUGUAGGCCCAUAUGUGUCCAUAUCCGUCUAGCAAUAAAUAUUUAGUUAUAUUUUAAUUUAUUUUUGAAUCAAAAUCAAUGUUAAUACCGGUAAAGACAUUCAUAUUCAAAGAUCAUAAUGUAGUGUUGAAUUGACAACCUUUAAGAAUAGAUGUUUUAACGGAUCUUAAAUUUAUGGGCUUUAUAAACUGAAUCAGUGUUAAAACAAUAAGGAGACAACCUGUUUGUAAUAAGUUUUCUAAGGCAAUGACACGCUCUCCAAAACCAAAUCUUUUGUUUCUUUGAAAGUUAUAUUCUUUUUAGACUCGUUCUGGAUUUAUGUUUCCAAUAUUAAAUAUGAAGUUUUUUUUUCUUUGGACAUAUCUGAAGCAACCACUAGAAAUGUAGCUUUUUAAGUGUUUCAAUAUGUUAUUUUAGAAAUUAGUCAUGCAAAAAAAUUCCACAUAAAUAUGUGUAUAGAUGUAACCCUCACAUAGUUUUAAAUCUCUCCAGUACCUUAGAUUUAGAAAGAAUUUUAGAAGAAACGAAAUUAAUAGAGUAUACAAAUAUUUUCACAUUGAAAAAACACCUUCCAUGCACUAUAUAUAUUUAAGGUAUGAGUCACUUUUUUUAAGUCUACCAAACGGGAGAAAGAAAACGUGUAAUUUUGGUAUUUUAUAAUCCAGUAGUUGUCGUUUGCUGCUUAUUGUUUAUAACAUUAAUCCGGUCGUUAGUUUUUUGGUUUAAGAAUUGUUUUACAUGUUUUAUAAGCAUUAUAUUUUUAGUAUAUGGAUUUUGCGCAUUGUUGAAGGUCAUAGAAUGACCUAUUAGUUAUAUAGUUUAUGUUCUUCUAAGUCAUCUGAUCUUCGGUGGAGAUUUUUCUAAUUGGCAACUUACCAUAUCUUCAAAUUUUAUUUAUUGAACACGUGAUGAUCUUGUAUUUCGUUUUUCAUAAAAAGACAAUGGAAGGCUUUGAAAAUUGCUCACAAAAAUGAUAUAAUAAAAAAUGUGUAACUUGUAGCUUGAAUAUAAGUGUUUAUAACAUAUUGUUGUAAUGUAAUGCUUUACUGUAUAGAUAAAUUUGUAUAAAUCUUAAACUUUGAAGACGGGUUAUGUCGUAACACGGAAUUUUUGUUUAUUGUAAGAAAAUUCUUCUACAUAGAGUUAUGCAUAACAUAUGAAAAAACCUAAUUAGUUAAUUCGUGUUGGCAAUUAAUGCUGUAUGACCGUAAGUACGUAUUGAUUCAACCAGUGCAGAAAUUCAUUAUCAGUUGUACAUUAUAGCAAAACUUGCUAUAUUAUGCUCACUAACUAGAUCGCACUGAAUAAAUAACUAUACGUCAUAUUGCUGACUAACUAUAAAUUGCACUUACUAAAUAACUACUGAAAUACAUUAGAGAGAACCGAUUAUUUGUUCCAGCAAUAUAAUUAUUGGAUAUGAAAUAAAGGGUUGUUGAUUUUAUAUGUCGUCCGGAAAGUAAAUGGAGAAAUGAAAAACGCCAUGUGGAAUGUUUCUUUAUUCAAAAACAUACAUAUAUAUCGUUAAAUGUUCGGAUUCUACGGAAGCCUUUUAGGGCCAUGCAAUUGACUUUUUUUUAGUUUGAUGUUACAAAUUAUCAAUUUGAUAUUACAUAUUAUUAUCAAUUUGUAAUAACAGAUUAUCAAUUUGAUGUAACAAUGUUAUAUCGAAUUGAUAUUCUGUUAUAUAAAAUUGAUAAUCUGUUAUAUAAUGUUAUAUCAAAUUGAUAAUUUGUUAUAUCAAAUUGAUAAUUUGUUAUAGCAAAUUAAUAAUGUGUUAUUUCAAAUUGAUAACCUGUUAAAUCAAAUUGAUAAUUUGUUAUAUCAAAUUAGAAAAAAUAAAUUGUAUGGCCCUAAAAGGCUUCCGUAGGAUUCGUAUAAUCAUAUAGUCUAAGAUUUAAAUUCAUCAAAUGGAGUUACAUAAAUAAAAAGAUUAAAAACAUAUAUGAUACAAAUGACUGCAUCCGCGUGCUUUUGAACUGCAUGUGUACCAAUAUAUACAAUUAACAAUAGUAAGAUGCAGUCCGCGUCUAGGCAAUGACUAUUGAAAGGCAAUAUUAAUGGUAGCAUACGUUUUUAUGCCCCAUUUAUGGGCAUUAUGUUUUCUGGUAUGUGCGUCCGUUCGUUCGUUCGUCCGUCUGUCCCGCUUUAGGUAAACGUUUUUGGUCCUGGUAGUUUUUGAUCAAGUUGAAGUCCAAUUAACUUGAACCUUUGUAUACAUAUUCCUUAUGACAUGAUCUUUCUAAUUUUUAUGCCAAAUUAGAGUUUUUAUGCCAUUUUCACGGUCCACUGAACAUAGAAAAUGAUAAUGUGGAUUGGGCAUCAGUGUACUAAGGAUACAUCCUUGUUUUAUAUUUGAUUGCGAACUAUCAUUGAGAAACUGACUUCACUGCCAUUUUUUUUAUAUUUGAUUGCGAACCAUCAUUGAGAAACUGACUUCGCUGCUAUUUUUUUUAUAUUUGAUUGCGUACCAUCAUUGAGAAACUGACUUCACUGCUAUUUUUUUUUAUAUUUGAUUGCGAACCAUCAUUGAGAAACUGACUUCACUGCUAUUUCUUUUAUAUUUGAUUGCGAACCAUCAUUGAGAAACUGACUUCACUGCUAUUUUUUUAUAUUUGAUUGUACUUCACGCUAUUUCUUUUGUAUUUAUUGCGAACCAUCAUUGAGAAACUGACUUCACUGCUAUUUCUUUUAUAUUUGAUUGCGAACCAUCAUUGAGAAACUGACUUCACUGCCAUUUUUUUAUAUUUGAUUGCGAACCAUCAUUGAGAAACUGACUUGACUGUCAUUUUUUUUAUAUCUGAUUGCGAACCAUCAUUGAAAACUGACUUAACUGCCAUUUUUUUUAUGUCUGAUUGCGAACCAUCAUUGAGAAACUGACUUCACUGCCAUUUUUUAUAUUUGAUUGUGAACCAUCAUUGAGAAACUGACUUCACUGCUAUUUUUUUUAUAUUUGAUUGCGAACCAUCAUUGAGAAACUGACUUCACUGCCAUUUUUUUAUAUUUGAUUGCGAACCAUCAUUGAGAAACUGACUUGACUGUCAUUUUUUUUUAUAUCUGAUUGCGAACCAUCAUUGAAAACUGACUUAACUGCCAUUUUUUUAUAUUUGAUUGCGAACCAUCAUUGAGAAACUGACUUCACUGCCAUUUUUUUUUAUAUCUGAUUGCGAACCAUCAUUGAGAAACUGACUUAACUGCCAUUUUUGUUUAUAUCUGAUUGCGAACCAUCAUUAAGAAACUGACUUAACUGCCAUUUUUUUUAUAUUUGAUCGCGAACUAUCAUUGAGAAACUGACUUAACUGCCAUUUUUUUAUAUUUGAUUGCGAACCAUCAUUGAGAAACUGACUUAACUGCCAUUUUUUUAUAUUUGAUUGCGAACCAUCAUUGAAAAACUGACUUAACUGCCAUUUUUUUAUAUUUGAUUGCGAACCAUCAUUGAAAAACUGACUUAACUGCCAUUUUUUUAUAUUUGAUUGCGAACCAUCAUUGAGAAACUGACUUAACUUCCAUGUUUGGUGCAUGUGAUUCAUGUUGCUAUCUAUUUUUCUAUAUAGACGUUUUAAUUUAUGGAAUGUUGUUUGCCUGGUCUUUCUUCUUUUGUUAAUGUUGUUUUGUGGUGUUUUUCUCGUUUUGUGGUAUUUGCUUUACUCUUUGAUUUAUCUUCAAUUUGUAUUACUAAAAGUACUAAUAUUACAAUCGGACAAGUAUGCAAAAGGUUCAUUAUGAAAAGUAUUCCCAUUCGAAUAAAUGUAUGGAAAAACCCAGCACAUUUAUACGAAUGAUCAUGUAUUCCCACGUACAAUUUAAUUAUUUUUAGUGCAAUUUUUUUAAUAAAACAUAAUGGUAUGAUGUUCAUUUGUUAUCGUUUGUAGAUGUGGUUCAUAAGUGUUUCUAUUUUUUAAUAUAGAUUAGACCGUUAGUUUUCCCGUUUGAAUGAUUUACACUAGUCAUUUUUGGGGCCUUGCUAUAGCUUGCUGUUCGGUGUGAGCCAAGGAUCCGUGUUGGAGACCGUACUUUGACCUAUAAUGGUUUAAGUUUUACAAAUUGUGAACAUGGAUGGAGAGUUGAUUCAUUGGCGGCACUCAUAUGACAUCCUCUAGAUCUUAUAUCUAAAAAGCUAUGUUUGAAUAUUGAGAACAUGUAUCGUACAUUAUCAUAUAUGUUUCUUGUGUUGUAUCUGUAAUUCGGAACGAUAAUGUACCAUUGUUUUUCUAGUAUUUGUAAAGAUAUAUACAACAUAUUUGCUAUGUUCCAGUUUAUAUCUUUGCAAUGCAGUAGUGCUCUUUCACCAUGCUUACUUAACAUUUCUUUCUUGGUUCGAUGCCUAUUUAUUUAGAGUUAUAUAACAGAAUAGAAUCUCAGCCAAGAAUACAAUGCAAACAACAUGUUUUACGUGUGUGAACAUACAGAGGAUCAAACUUACAAAUUUUUAUGUGUGACUAUGCAGCCUAAAACAUAAAAUCCCGGAAGAAUUUAUACGACUUAUAGUAAAAUGUAAUAAUGUUUAAAGUAUCCACAUUUUUGUCUUCGAUUUUUAUUUUAAUUUUUUUUACUAUGUGUGUAAUGCAGUUACAAGUGCAUUAUCCUGACAAUGAUAUGUGUCCUAUUUUUUUUUCAAAAUAUCAUUUAAUCUAAUAAAAAUUAAAAAUACCAACAAGGUUGUCGUUCGUUGUUGUCGGUAACAAUUAAAGUUCGUGUAUUGUUCUGGGCGUAUGACAUUUGCGCCGAUUUUGAAAAUUUUCAAUCUUUCAUUUGCGCCGAUUUCAUUUUUUCAUUUGCGCCGAUUUUAUAUUUGCUCCUAAUUAGAUUUACAGGUAAGUUAAUACUUGUACAUAUACUGUACUAUACCAUUGAUAAAAUCUGGUUAUAAUUGUUGUUUAAAUACUUUUGAUUCAUUUUGUUCUGGAACUUCGUUGUAACAUGAUGGACAUAUUACACACUGAAACGAGCCGAGUAGUCAAUUCUUUAGUUAUCGAGGGCCAUACAUAUCGGAAGGUUAGUGUCCUGAAACAUAACAACAUACCUUACAAAUGUACCAUAAAUCGUGUAAAGCCAUAGUCACCACGGAUUCUAGUGUCAAAACACUGAUCGAGCAUAAACAUGUGGCAGAGGUCCUAAAGACAGAGGUUAAAGAACUAUACGGGUACUGUCAAGGAAAAAGUCUGGAGGUGUAUCUUCUAGGCCUUCUUCCAUCUCCCUGUAGUGAGCAGGGGACAACAGUUUUCCCGUUUGAAUGGUUUUACACUAGUAAUUUUGGGGCCCUUUAUAGCUUGUUGUUCGGUGUGAGCCAAGGCUCCGUGUUGAAGGCCGUACAUUGACCUAUAAUGGUUUACUUUUAUAAAUUGUUAUUUGGAUGGAGAGUUGUCUCAUUGGCACUCAUCACACCACAUCUUCCUAUAUCUAUGUUAUGAUUGUCAAUUCAUUACAUUUAUGCAAAUGGCUAAUGGAAGAGGUCUAAAUGAUAAAAUAAAAAUUACAUGACUUGGAUGGAGAGUUCUGUCAUUUGCACUCAUACCACAUCUUGUUAUAUCUAUUCACCUGUAAUUUACCUGUAAAAAAAAUCGGCGCAAAAUGAAAAAAUAUAAUCGGCGCAAAUGAAAGAAAAAAUCGGCGCAAAUGAAAUGCAGAUCGGCGCAAAUGCAAAACGCCGAUUGUUCUAUCAUAAUUAUGACCAUUGGUUUUAUCAUGUACAUCGUUUCAUAUUUGUCAUUUUGGGGCAUUUUUACUGAUUUUACGGUGGGAAUUUUUCUCAUUUUGGAAGUGUACAUGGCGUCUGUUGGAUAUUUUUCUCAUUGACAAUUAUAUACAACAGCUGUAUAGGGUGUAAGGACAUAUGUUAGACGAUUACAGCAUGAGUAAAAAGCAAAUAACAAAAAUACCGAACUCCAAUGAAAAUUCAAAUUACGUAGGAAAAAAGUGGAUUAAACCUGGUUGUAUAGCUAAAUAAAACUCUCACUUGUUUGACAGUCGCAUAAAAUUUCAUUAUAUUGACAACGAUAUGUAAACCGCAGAAUAACAACACGGCGGCGUUUGCCACAUGCAUGUGUAUAUCCUUCUCGAGCACCUGGUGUAUUGAUAAUAUAUAAAAUAAAAAAAUAUCUAAAAUUAUUCAAUAGCAUCAAACUUUUAAAGACCAUACAUGUAGCAACAGAUGUUUUAAUAAUCCAAUUAUACUAAUUUGGCCACUUUUACCGUACUAUUUAUAAAGAGUAUGACAGUCAGUCUCAGAAAAUUCCAUUACAUUGACAACAACGUGUGAACAAAACAGACAUAAUAGGUAAAAUGUCAAUAUAUGGGUACAGCAGCCAUCAUUGUGUUAUAAUCUUUAUUAUCAUACUUGUCAGAGUUUAAAUUGUUCUUUGUUUUAUUAAAGUUUUUUUUAGUGUAAACCUCCCAAAAUAAGUGUAAGUUAUGAAGAACAGAAAAUUUCCAUAUUAUCAUAUAUUUUUUCCUUCAAAAUUUUAAUGCAUUCCAGUUACUAAACAUGAUGAUGAUAGAAAUUAAAAAAAAACCUUUGCAAUUACUCCCCUUUCCUGCCAACCCCAAAAACGAAACAAACAACCACAAAAACAAACCUAUAUUAUUAACCCACAGACAAAUAAAUACAUUAAAAAUGUAUUAAUUAUAAAUAUCAUCUUUUGAAAGAAAGUACAAGAUGAUUGAAGUUACAACACUUAACUUCAAAAUAAUUUCUGUAAAAAAUUCCUGAUGGAUUACUGAUUUAUCUUUCUCUUUGAAAAGAGUAAACAAAAUUACCCAAUGUAGCAAUUACAAUUAUGCUGUUUUCUGUUGGUUCAGACAAGCUCAUAUUUAUGUAUUCGCUAAUGUUAUUUGUCAGAGUUAUUGUUUUGUUUUGCAGACGAUGGUUUAUGAGAGACAGCGAGGAUGAAAGAAUUCAAGACUUUACCAUACUAUAAUGGACCUUCCCUUCCGCCAGGUGAGUUCGUUCGUACUGAAAUGUACCAUACUCUUCUCAUAAUUUGAAAUAUGAUAUCAAACUAUAAAAGACAUUUCAUAAAGAUUUUCUUUGGCAAGUAUGGUAUGCCAUAUUUUAAAGGACAUUCCAUGUAAACUUCUAAUAAAAAAAACCCAAUGCAAUGGUGUGUCCAUUCAGUAAGCUAAGUAACAAUACUAUACGAAGGAUCUUCUUUUCCAGCCGGUAAAGAAAAAAAAACGAUUAUUGUCCUUCUUUUUAGUCAUAGUAAUCUCCAAUCUUUUCCUGUAUCCGUGGGCAAACAAAAUAGAAGGAUAGAUAACAAUAACAUUCUGAUUUUACCAAGCAUUCUGAAAGCAAGCCCUUAGAAACGUCAUAUUUCUGAGUAAAAUUCAUAAGUGACAAACCUUUUCCCAUCUGUUACAUAAUUUUGUUUUCUAUUCAUUAAUUCAAAUACUAGGAUGUUAUUAAAUUUUCUCUUUUGCAAGAUGAAAAAUAAGCCUUUCUGCAAAUCAGCUUAAAACUCAAUACAUUGAGAAAACUUCACCUCAUGUAUAAAUAAAGUAUAACGUGCGUCAUUGGUCUCUGGUGAAGAGUUGUCUCAUUGAUAAUCAUCUUAUUUUGGUAUAUAAUCUUCUUAAUUUUUUAUCAUGUCUUUUCUGUUUUUGCAAACAUCACGAUACAUGCAGUUGUAGAAAUCAAGAGUUUAUGAAUAAAAGACGCUAACUUUAACGUAAAAAUAUUAUUAGCGUGCCUCCCGUCAGAUAAAAAACAGACUUUCCAUCGACUGUAAGAAAACAUGACAUCCUCCUUCCUUUCUGCACGUCAAUAAUAGAUUUUUUUCUCUUCACAGCUCAGUACAAUACUAAAACAGUAUUUGUUUUUGUUAAGAUUUGGACUGUAGCUUUAAAAUAAGGGCAUGUUGGGGAGAGGCCAGACUUGUGUCUCGCAAUAGGUAAACUAUGAAGCCUUCAGUUGCUGCGAUUUUUUUUUAACGUAUAUAAAGAAUAAAAUUGAAAAUAGAAAUUGGGAAUGUGUCAAAGAGACAACAACCGGAGCAGAUAAGAGCAGAAGGCUACCAAAGGGUCCAAUACUCUACUUUCCCUACAAAAGGCAUCGGAUCAGAUAUGGCCAUGUAUUUAAACAUCCCACACAAUCAAACAAACUACAUCUCUUGGGAGUUGUACCCCUCGAAUGAUUCAUGUAUUUUUGAAGUUUAGUUAAUUGAAAAGGGUGCUUACAGACGACACGUAGCGGAGCCUGUUUUUAAAACGAAUGUUUCUGACCGUCAAUUCCAAAAUUAACGACUUCAACCCUACAACUACGAUACUUUUAUUUCUAAAGUAUUUAGACGAAAUAUAAAGUGCAUUACAAAAACUAAUAAUACAUUAAUUCUUUCAAAAAUGUAUGAAUUUAAUUUUUUUGCGAAACUUCACAAAGCAUUUUGGAGCAUAAACGUCAGGCUUUUAUGACGUCAUAAAAAUGAAAACUUUUAAACUGCGAAGGUAAUUCGGUUACUUGUACGAUUAAAAUUUGGAAAACAUCUCAUAAAAGCGGCGUUUUUGGGGUAGGUGUUGUUUUAUUUUUGAUUUUAUUGUAGAAGUUUGUGGAUUCAAGCGAAUCAUAAGGCGGCUAAAGACAUGUCAAAAUUGUGGAUUUCACGGCUUAAUUUAGCCAAUGAAAAAAAUGUUACAUAAAAGUUUCAUUAGAAUCAACAUUCUUUUAGGCAAAAAUUGGCUGGCAAACGUAAGGUAAUUUAUAUUUUGUGCAAGUUUUCGAAGUUUUGUGGAAAUAUCAGGUAGGAAUAAUUAUUGCAAGGUGAAGUGACAGACAGCAGCUCGUUAUUCUUUUGAAUUGGUUAUUCCCAUCGGAGGCAGUGAUUGAUACAAGUUGAUUACAUCUAAAUGAAAGAUGUUACUAGGGUUCCUUCAGAAUACUUCUGUUUGAAGAAAAGCUGUGAUAAAUAGCCACAUCUAUGGUUGUUCUGUAAAUGCACAUAUGAUUCUCUCUCUCUCUCUCUCUCUCUCUCUCUCUCUCUCUUUGGCUCGCUUACUCUCUCGGAAAUCAGUAAAAAUUAACUUGAAAAUACCCGUUUCCCGAUGAAAGUCAUAGAUGACUGUGGAUGAAAGAGACACAUCUACAACUUGUUGGUUGACUUUUACCCAUCGGUUACACACGCGUUCAGCCGAGUUUUUUUAUCAUUUUUUUGUGUAAUUUGUUAUGAAAAUGUGUAUUUAUUUGUUUCCCCUCAAAUACUAGGUUAUCUGUCACACUUCUGUUUUAGAUUUAGGGGAGAUAACUGUAUUGUAUUUUAAGCUCCGACGGCAUCAAUUGGGGAUUUGAUGGUCGCAAAUUAAGUUUACUGGCGACGCGUUUUACCUUUUUUUAAAUUUUGUCUGUUCAAAGAGUGCAAUUUGAAGAUGGAACUUCUCAACUUCUGAUUAACUGAUCAUUCACAAAGUUAACAUGAGGGGAUAAUCACAAAAUUAAUACAAUCGGCGUUAUGGUAAUUAGUUGCAAAGGACAUUAUGAGUUGACAUCGUUAUUUCCAGUGUCAGUAAAUUGCUGAAUGUAAUCUGACAAUGUCAUUUACUGUAAUCUGAAAAUGUCAUUCACCUGGAUGUUGUUGUAUUUGUAUGAAUUGAUUUCCCCUUCCCUGCCGUAAAACUAUCGAAUUACAGUUGACUGUAAUGAAUGGUUAACAGUUUCCAUCUAUACUAAACCAUACCAUAUCUCCUCGUUAAAUAGUCAUUUCAUAUUCAAUUAAGUGACCUCGAGAGUAUAAACCUUUUAUGAUAGCCAAUUAUUAGGAAUGUACGGUUCAAGUCAGUAGUUUGAUGUCGGCUCUAAACACGCUAUCAUUGUAUAUGGUUUAUUCAAUAAUACAAAUAAAUAUUUAUUAUCGUCAGACAACACAGAAGCAGUCUGGAUUUUAUCUUUUUCGUCAUUGCAUUACGUAUCGCAACCCACCUUUCAAAGGAAUAUGAUUUAAUUACUCUCGCAUUUCAUCAAACUUUUACGUAAUUAUUUAUGAUUUACAAAAACAAGACUCAGAACGUACCAAAACAUACUUUGGAAUAUCCUUACUAACCUUGCUUCGUUCCGUCUAGUACUCUUAAUGAAAAUAUUUUGACUAAUUGGCCACUUGUUUGAGUGUACAUUAUUUACCGUAUGUAAACCUUGUCAAUCUUGUACAUUGUUGUUCACCCUAUUUCAAUCAUAAUUUACGGUAUCUGCUUGUCACCUUGAUCCGGAAUUCCAAUAUGUUUUGCACGUUCAUUUUUCGCUUCUUAGUGUUUUUGAUGGCGUAUGACUCAUUCUCUCUUGGGCAUAUCUUCUUUGCUUUGCAAUUCUUACAUAUUUUGUAUGUGCAUUAUUUUCUAGUUGUUACAAGAUCUUCACGGUCACUGAUUUUUUAAAGUUUGGUUGCCAAAGAUAUAAAAAAUCGACACUUUUCUGAUAUCACAUUUUUCAAUUAACAUAUAUAUGUUUGCCAGCAGCAUUGUUUCUGCUUACAAUCUACAAUUAAAUGCUGCAAGCUCUGAGGCUGUAAGCAUAGCUUAUAACAAGAUUGACGACACUUAAUGAAUAUAGAAAGAACAUUGACAAAUAUCUGAAUCAUGAAAGUUAUUUCUGAUUCCCAAGAAUGUUCUAAUGAAUAACUAUCUUGACAUAUGAAGUAGACAUAGCGUGUCUGUCAACAUUUACCUACAUGUCAAAAUUAAUUUGAUAUAAAAUCUGGUAUCUCUAAAAGAAUCAUGAACAUCUCAGUAAUAAAAUAAGACUCUUUUGAUAAUAGGUUUAAGUUCCAAGUAGGGAACAAUUUUUUAUUCAAUCCGAAUAGUAUAAAGAAAACGGAUAAUUUAACCGCAAUUCGUGAUCCCUAUAUUUAAACCGAAUAAACUGGCAAAGACGGAGAAACAGCUACAGUGAAUUUAUGUACCACGCGGUAUUAGAUAUCUAGCUUUUCUGACAUUUUCUCAAGGAAUAUAGACAACGCUCUUUUUUUAUAGUCUAUACAUGUAUGUGGUCCUCAGGAUGGUCUAUCAUACGAUUCUUAUUUGUGUCGUAAGGUUGAUGUCUUAUGACUCCUACGCACAUUCGUGAAUUAAUGUGUUAUUCGGUCACUCGUUGAAUAUUUUUCUCUAAUUUAAUUAUUCGAUUAGGUAUUCUAUAACUAUCUUUCAAAUGCCUCUGUAGGAACAUUAACACACCAGAAAUUUAAGCCAAACCAGUCAGGACUGGGACGCCAAUUUCUUACCAUAAAAGUACAGAUAACUAAAUUAAUGAAAACAAGAAUGUGUCCACAGUACACGGAUGCCCCACUCGCACUAUCAUUUUCUAUGUUUAGUGGACCGUGAAAUUGGAAUAAAUUCUCUAAUUUGGCAUUAAAAUUAGAAUGAUCUUAUCAAAGGGAACAUGUAUACUAAGUUUCAAGUUGAUUGGACUUCUACUUUAUCAAAAACUACCUUGACCAAAAACUUUAACCUGAAAUUUGCACUAUCAUUUUCUAUGUUCAGUGAACCGUAAAAUUGGGGUCAAAACUAUAAUUUGGCAUUUAAAUUAGAAAGAUCAUAUCAUAGGGCACAUGUAUACUAAGUUUCAAGUUGAUUGGACUUCAACUUCAUCAAAAACUACCUUGACCAAAAACUUUAACCUGAAAUUUGCACUAUCAUUUUCUAUGUUCAGUGAACCGUAAAAUUGGGGUCAAAACUAUAAUUUGGCAUUUAAAUUGGAAAGAUCAUAUCAUAGGGCACAUGUAUACCAAGUUUCAAGUUGAUUGGACUUCAACUUCAUCAAAAACUACCUUGACCAAAAACUUUAACCUGAAGCGGGACAGACGGACGAACGAACGGACGAACGAACAGACGGACGAACGGACGCAGAGACCAGAAAACAUAAUGCCCCUCUACUAUCGUAGGUGGGGCAUAAAAAUUGUCCCUAAUUAAAAAAACUAUGUUUUUGAUAGCCAUCCCAGAAAAAGUUAAACUUAUGAUUUAUUUUACAAAAUAUAUUUAUACAUGCAUAGUACUGUUUUUAAAAAUUAAUAUUGAAUUCAUUUCGAAAAACAAUGCUGAAGCAUACUGAGACAUUCUGUCAUUGUUCACAUAAAACCCUUUGAUGCAUUUUAAAUCUCGUUUUAACUUAUUCAAUAUAACCCCAGUUCUAUGCAUGUUUCCGCGUUCUGAGAUCUUAAGACACUGGUAUAGUCGUCUGCUCUGAAAAAAUAACCGAUUGUGUCCUGACACCUGUAGUGUCAUUUAUAGAAUAAAUCUUGAUUGGCAUUGAGGAUUUAUUUUCGCUUACUUUGUUGAUGUUUCUGCCUUGUGGUCAUAACAAUGCAACUUAUGAGUAUACUGGAUUUGAUGUUUCGCGCACGCAUUUUGUUGUCAGUAAAGUUUUAAGGUCGAAGGGCAGAACUUUUUCCGUUUGGAAUUCUUGCAAUUCCUUUGUUUUAUUGGUUGUCUUUUUUUUUCUUGGAGGGCAUUUUUCACAUGAAAUACAAGUUAAUAAAUUCGGUAUUCUUUUGUAUAUACUUGGCGUUUUUAAAUGCACACUGAUGCGUUUUCUAUAAACGGGCCGCCCGUCUGGAGGUCAAAUUGAUAUCCUAGUAUAUCUAUAUAUGAGCAAAAAAUUAAAAAAAAAUAUGUUAUGAGUGUAAAAUCCAAAUAUUAUAUUGUAACCAUGACAAACAUGUCAAUAUUUACAAACCUACAAUAUUUAAAUUUUAGAAAAAAAAUUGAGAGAAAAAGUACAAUAUUCUUCAAGUUAUGCUAUUGUUACAGAAUAUAACGUUAACGUAUUGAACAAAUAUAUAAGAAAAAUAUAAAAUAAUCAUAAAUUUGUAUAAUUAAUAAGUUUUUCUUGUCAGGUCGGCUUAUUACAUGUAAAAUAUUAACCCCUUAACAUUAAUUUUACUUUAAAUGUCAUACUCAUUAAAUGUAAAUGUAAAAAUAAAUGUAAUUUUUCCUCGUCAGACAUUUUUUUGGACAGAUGGAGCUAUAAUCUCUACAUCAAUAUAUGAUGAGUUUAAUUGUCUCUUAUUUAAAGAAGUUAAGUAUAUAUAAUUGUAUCAAAUUCCAGUUUGUGUCUUAUUUAAAGAAAUUAGGUACAUAUAAUUAUAUCAAAUACCAGAUAUAAUUACCAUACGUGGGUUACUAGUCAUUGCGUAUGUAAAAUAAUAUAGCUAUAUCAUGCGCAAACUAUUACUGGUAGAUCUUAUUAUUGGUUAUGCCAGAUAUAUCAAUAAAAAUAAAGGAAAAACAAAUAUAUAUAGAAAUGGUAUCUAGUGAUAAUGAGCAGGGGCAUCGGAUGAUUGCAUUUGAUUUGUUUUGUAAUUCAUACAUAUAAUCCUUUCAGUUAUUCCUUAAUUUUAGGAUAUUAUUUUGUUCUGGUGUUAAUAUGGAGAACUUAUUAGGUAUUUAUAUCGUCAUCUGCUUCUAGGAUUUCUGCUUUAAUCAUUUAAUAGAGAUUAGGUUUUGGUUGUGCGUGGACAAAUCAACUAUUUGACUUUCAACCCUUAACAUUGAAAAAAAUGUGGAAGUCUUAGAAAUAAAGGUAAGGUUUUGUGAGCUAAUUUCAAGAAAGACAAAACUAUAGUAAUAAAAAUUUAAUUGAAAAUAUUCGUGUUUGAAAGAAAAGAAGUAGAAAAAAUAUUUAAAUGAUAUUUUGUUUGUGUCAUUGUAAAACUAAUACUUGAAUUAACAUAUCUGUUAAAUUACAAAAAUGAUAAACAUUGGACAAAUUCAUUUUAAUUUUAUUUAAAAUGUUGUUAUUAAUAAAUUAGAAAAUUAAUAGAUCAAACAUCGUGCAAAGACUCGAAUAGAAUGUUUAUUUUUAAUUUAUUUCACAACAAAUUCAUAAGAACAUGUAAUACUAUCAGGUAAAUAAAUUUGAAACACAAAGCCGAAAAUGGACCGAGGUGAGUAGGUUUAAAUAAAGACAUUUAAGGAAUGACUGUAAUAUUUUUUCUGUCUAUGAAUAAAUAACAUAAAAAAUUUGGUGCACACUGAAUAACGCGCGUAGCGGGUUAUUUAACAGUGUGCACCACAUUUUUUAUGUUAUUUCGAAUAGACAGAAAAAAUAUAACAGUCAUUUCUUAUAAUUUAAUUGUAAAUUCCAUUUUAAACCGUAGAAAACCAUGAAAAAACGUUGAUGACGUCACGGUCACAUGACUAAAUUAUGUCUUUGGGCUGAUAACAAAAUAACGUCAGCCAAUCAGAAGACGCGUUACAUCCAAAAUUAAAUUAUUCUAAAAUAUCAAAAAGGAACUUUGUAACUGAUUUUUAUAAAUCGUUCUUAUGUUGUACUGUUACAUCUCUGUCACAGGUUAGGGGAGGGUUGGGAUCCCGCUAACAUGUUUAACCCCACCGCAUUCUGCAUGUACAUGUAUGUGCCCGUCCCAAGUCAGGCGCCUGUAAUUCAGUGGUUGUUGUUUGUUGCUAUGUUAAAUAUUUGUUUUUCGUUCAUUUUUGUACAUUAAUUAGACCGUUGGUUUUCUCGUUUGAAUUGUUUUACAUUUGUUAUUUCGGGGCUUUUAUAGUUGACUAUACGGUGUAUGUUUUGCUCAUCAUUGAAGGCCGUAUGGUAACCUAUAGCAGUUAAUUUCAGUGUCAUUUGUUCUCCUUUGGAAAGUUGUCUCAUUGGCAAAUAUGCCACAUCUUCUUUUUUUAUAAGUUAAAAAUUUAUUACGCUAUACAAACGUUUCUUCUUCAUAUCUCUAACUAAGAGACGCUGGAAUAAAAUAAAUAGGAAAGUAAAAUAAAUACAAAGUUAAAGAACAUUGACAACCAUAUGUCCUUAAAAAUUACAGCCAAAUACGGCUUAGACCAUCUGUGUUUUGAGCAGAUGUGGUAUUUCAUGUUAUCGCUCUUUUGUCCUAUAUAGUUCUUUUUUAAAGGACUUGUAUGUUUCUAUUUGGCAAGUUUUUAGAUUCAUUUUAAUGGCGUUGCUUCUGUUUUUAAAGACAGUACAUGUACGUCUGGCGUACUAAAUUAUAAUCCUGGUUCCUUUGAAAACUAUUUACACCACUGGGUCGAUGCCACUGCUGGUGGACGUUUCGUCCCCGAGGGUAUCACCAGCCCAGUAGUCAACACUUCUUAGUCAGGGGUAUAAUAGCACAUCGUAGGAACUGUAAAAACAAAUUGGAAAAUGAUUGUCUUAUCAGAUCAACACGGAGCACAAACGACAAUACACAAAUUAUUUCUGCAAAAUUCAUAUUUGGCAUUAUUUUGAUUUGUCACCUUCUAUAUACCACCCACAGAUUUUAAAUUACCCCAUAACGUUUACAUUACAUAAAUUUCUAACAUAACAUGUAUUAGCAAAUGAAAUUAUGCUGUUUACAUAAAAGAUGUCGAAAUUGAUUGUUAUAUAUCAAAGCGUAUUAAUUAGUAUCGUUAAGAACCUAUAUUGUCUCUAGAGACUACUUGAGAACUAACAUAUUCAAAAACUAAAACACCUUUUUGUGUAAAUGAAGAUUAAGCAUCUAGUUCAUACUGUUUUUAUUGAUCAGAAGUCUUCUUAGUAUAAAAAUGUCUUAUCACCAAAUAAAAUCAAAUUGAACAACAACGAUCUGUAAAUUAGCAGGAAUCGUCAAGGUUAUAUGACAAGUGCUGCUAGUGAAUGCUGUUAACAAAGGAACACAAAAUUGUUUCAUUGUAAGCAGCAUUACUGAAUAGUUUAUUUCGUUACGGUAUCAGUAUGGAAUUGAUAGACUUUAUAUUAAUAUGGCGUGACUAGAUUUUUAUCCGUUGGAGUCUCAAUAUAGCACUGUUGCAUGUGUUGUGCUUGUGAAAUUAUGUUGCUAUAAGAUAUUUUUUCUGUUGGAUAUUAAUAUGGCAUUGCUAGAUGUUUUACGCCGUUGGAUAUCAGUAUCACGACUUGUAAGUAGAAAAUUCUCUAUCUAUUUGAUUUUCUGAUGUAGGAGAAUUGUAAUGUCGUACUAGGUACUGACGUUUUUUAUCAUCUUGAUAACGUUUUAUAGUAUUCUUCUAUAAAUUUGUCUUUGUAAAGUAUUACUUUAACUGUUUAGUCUAUUUUUGAUAAUAUCUAUUUGACGUGGCUUGGUACUUAUACAUUCCGACAUUGUGAUAUUAUGCUAUUAUAAGAUUUUGUAUUCUUGUCUUUCGUAUUUACUAAUGUGCUUUGUCUAUAUGCCUUUUUGUUUUGCUUUGUUGAUAGAUUUGAUUGUUUUUAAAGUGAUUAAGAUUACGCCACGACGUUGACUGUUGUACUCAAAUUAUUGACAUUUCUACCUAUCAUGUCUGUUUGUUUUGUCCACACAUAGUUGUCCAUUAUCACUGAACUAGUGUAUAUUUUGUUUAGGGACCAGCUAAAGCACGCCUCCGGGUGCGGGAGUUUCUCGCUGUAUUGAAGUCCCAUUUGUGGCCUUUGGCUGUUGUUUGCUCAUUGGUCGGGUUGUUGUCUCUUUGACACAUUCCUCAUUUUCAUUCUCAAUUUUAUAAUAGUGUUAUUUUACGCAUGCAGACAAAGAUGUCCAUAACAAGUUUUGGCACAACUUUCAGAAUUUUCAAAUUUUGUAUGCUUUUCAAUUUUGUAAUUGAAUUGAUUUCCAAGCGUUUUGAUCUUGACGCCUCUGACGAAGUCUGGCAUUUGAAUUUUAUUGAAAAUUUAAACUUGUCUUUAUUAACGAAGUAAGCAUCCGUUGAAUCGUAUUAUCUUCAUUUUUAUACUUAUGUUUUAUUUUUAUUGUAUUGCACAUAGUUUAAGUUGAUUUAAAGCUAUCUGAUAAUAAAUCACCUAGUUCUAUUACGUAAUGAAACGUAUUUACAACAUUGAUAAUAUAGUAUUUACAAAAACCGAAGGGCCAAGUGAGCUUUUCCCAUCACUUUGCGUCCGGCGUCCGUCGUCGUCCGUCGUCCGUCGUCGUCCGUCGUCGUCGUUAACUUUUACAAAAAUCUUCUCCUCUGAAACUACUGGGCCAAAUUUUACCAAACUUGGCCACAAUCAUCAUUGGGGUAUCUAGUUUAAAAAAUGUGUCCGGUGACCCGGCCAACCAACCAAGAUGGCCGCCAUGGCUAAAAAUAGAACAUAGGGGUAAAAUGCAGUUUUUGGCUUAUAACUCAAAAACCAAAACAUUUAGAGCAAAUCUGACGGGGCAAAAUUGUUUAUCAUGUCAAGAUCUAUCUGCCCUGAAAUUUUCAGAUGAAUCGGACAACCCGUUGUUGGGUUGCUGCCCCUGAAUUGGUAAUUUUAAGGAAAUUUUACUGUUUUUGGUUAUUAUCUUGAAUAUUAUUAUAGAUAGAGAUAAAAUGUAAACAGCAAUAAUGUUCAGCAAAGUAAGAUUUACAAAUAAGUCAACAUGACCGAAAUGGUCAGUUGACCCCUUUAGGAGUUAUUGCCCUUUAUAGUCAAUUUUUUAACCAUUUUUCGUAAAUCUUAAUAAUCUUUUACAAAAAUCUUCUCCUCUGAAACUGCUGAGCCAAAUUAAUCCAAACUUGGCCACAAUCAUCAUUGGGGUAUCUAGUUUUAAAAAUUUGUGGCGUGACCCUGCCAACCAACCAAGAUGGCCACCAUGGCUAAAAAUAGUACAUAGGGAUGAAAUGUAGAUUUUGGCUUAUAUCUCUGAAACCAAAGCAUUUAGAGCAAAUCUGACAGGGAUAAAUUGUUUAUCAGGUCAAGAUCUAUCUGCCCUAAAAUUUUCAGACAAAACAGACAAUCUGUUGUUGGGUUGCUGCCCCAGAAUUAGUUAUUUUAAGGAAAUUUUGCAGUUUUUGGUUAUUAUCUUGAAUAUUAUAAUAGAGAUAAACUGUAAACAGCAAUAAUGUUCAGCAAAGUAAGAUCUACAAAUAAGUCACAUGACCAAAAUUGUCAGUUUACCCCUUAAGGAGUUAUUGCCCUUUAUAGUCAUUUUUUAACAAUUUUCAUAAAUUUUUGUAAAUUUUUAGAAUAUAUUUUCCACUGUAAUUACUGGGCCAAGUUCAUUAUAGAUAGAGAUAAUUGUAGCAAGAAGAAUGUCCAGUAAAGUAAGAUCUACAAACACAUCAUGAUCACAAAAACACAAUUUUGUCCAUUGUUUAAUAUGCACAUAGACCAAGGUGAGCGACACAGGUUCUUGAGAGCCUCUAGUUUUCUAUAACAGAGCAAAAUAAAAGCUUUAUUUUGAAGCUUAUAUUCUGAUCUCGUAUUAAAAGCUUUGUGUUUUAACGUAGUAGCAAAUUUUGUGGUCACACUUGACAUGUUUGCUUACUCAGUGUGAAAUAAAGCUAAUUGCGCCCAAUUAUGUGAUCGGUUUUUAUAUCAGCUUUGUUUAACGUAGACUUCGCCCAUCCAUAGUCUUUGCUUCUUAGUAACACAGUUCUAUAUUUUCUCGUGUGUUAAGACUGUUUUUAUAUGGCAAACAAUUAUGAGUACUGUAGUUCAAUGCAAGAUAUUGCCCGUGUAUAUCUUUAUAUUUUUCGCAGUAUUCUCAUUCUCUUUGACACAAUCCCCAUUUCCGUUUUCACUUUUUUCACCGACCCUUCAAAUUACGACAGAAUUUAUUUGGUCUCGUAACUGGUAAUUUUCAAGCUAGUUAUAGAUUAUAUUUUUUUGUAAGUGUAACAUACAACAAAGAUGUUACAUUCAAUCAAUUGUUCAAAGAAAAAACAGUAAACUAAAUAUGGACUGACAUGCUUCAUUGAUAAACAGAGUGUAAAAUGUCAAACACGUUCUAAGUAAAUAAGUCUUUAAUAAUUAUCAUAUAUACCAGGCUUUUUUUUUUUACGCCUGACGCACAUUUCGUCAAUGAAAGAUUCAUGAGUGACGCUCGAAUUAUAAAAGUAAUGAAGGCCAAAUAAAGUAUGAAGUUGAAGAGCAUUAAACAUUCAAAAUUUCGAAAGGUUUGCUAAAUGCAGCUAAGGUAAUCUAUUAAUGGUUACUAUUUGUUUAGCAAGACAUUUGUUAUGUGAUCAUGGAAUAUUAUGAAAGCUGAAUUUUGGUGUUUGUGCUACAGAUCUUGAUUUUUAUCAUGUUUAAGAUAGGCUUCAUACAAUCUACACAUUGUACAAGAUGUCAUUGAACAAGUUUAUGCACACCAAAUCUACUAAUGCAAAAACACAUUGUUUUUCACCACUAGCAAAUCCCACAUUUCAAUAAUUCUCGUACUAAUUACAUUUAUGCAAUACUAACACACCUACAUCUGAAUAAAAACCAUUCUCUGAUGUAAACGCAGGGGACGUGGAAAUGGAUUAUUUCAUCUGAAAACUAGCCUAAUUAGUAAUGGUUAAAAAAUAAACGCGUUUUCUUUGGGGAUCCAUAAUUGAAACUAUUCAAUCAGCUGUAUACACAAGAUAUAUAUAUAUUAAACAAUUUAGUUCAUAUUGUUUUCUAUCGAACUCCUAAAAACAUUCUCAUCGGUAAAUAAAAUCAAAUUGAAUAAAAGCUAAGAAACUUAAAGUUGUUUGCUUAAUACAUUAAGAACAUGAUACUGACGAAUGGACGAUAAAAUAAUAUUUUUUUCUGUGCAGACAAGGUUUUAACCAAUCUGAUUAUAUCCAUGGUUUUAACAGACCAUUUCAGUUAAAACGUAUAUAUUUUUUUAAGUUUUAAGUUAAGUUACAAAAAGUAAUCAAUAUCUCAUAGGAGCAUAUUUACGUUAGAUUCAAAAUUGUGCUUUUACAUGUUGAAAUGGUUAGUCAACUAUAUAUUGACAAUAUAGGUCGGUUAAAAACUCAUCUUUCCGACGCAAGAGAUGAUUACGAUUUAUCUUUUGUGAACUUUCCUUUUCUGUGUAGCAACAUUUUGUCUUCGCCUGCAUGAAAAGUACGUAUCUCCUAGUUGGUAGUUUAUUCCAGGGCUUGAGUAAUAUAAUAUGAUUUCCUUGGUAAAGAGUUUCCGCCUACGUUGAUCUUAUUAAAUCAAUUGCCCCAAGUUGUUCAAGUUAAAAUUUUAACAGCGAUUGCCUUAAUUUACGGACGGGAUUGGUUUUUCGUUAUGAAAGCUCUAUGUCAUAGAUAUAGAUUCCACCACUGCAUCGAGUGUAAUACGAUAUUUAUCCACUCGAGACAGUUAAAUUUUCAAAUUUAAAGUCCAAGCCGCCUCGGCGAGGACUUUGAAAUUGAUAAUUUAACUGUCGAGAGUGGAUAAAUAUCGUAUUACACGAGAUUUGGUAGUGGAAUCUGUUUCUCUAAUGAUUUUCUAACAGUAUGCAGGCAAACUUAUUCCUUCUUUUCGAAUGAUCUGAAAAAGAUGUGUUCUUUCUAUGUGACGUCGUCAGGCAUGGUCGCCUUUUUUUAUGCCGUCACAAUAGGAAAUUCAGAGGAAAGCAAACAAAUUCGACGUCACAAUCGGAUUUUAACCAAUGAAGUACUGAGAUCAAACGAACCACACGUUGAUUAAAAUUUUUUAUACAAUGGGUGCAGAAAGGGAUAAAUUGACGAAGAAUUAGAGAAAUAUAGAUUCCACCACUGCAUCGAGUGUAAUACGAUAUUUAUCCACUCGAGACAGUUAAAUUUUCAAAUUUAAAGUCCAAGCCGCCUCGGCGAGGACUUUAAAAUUGAUAAUUUAACUGUCGAGAGUGGAUAAAUAUCGUAUUACACGAGAUUUGGUAGUGGAAUCUGUUUCUCUAAUGAUUUUCUAACAGUAUGCAGGCAAACUUAUUCCUUCUUUUCGAAUGAUCUGAAAAAGAUGUGUUCUUUCUAUGUGACGUCGUCAGGCAUGGUCGCCUUUUUUUAUGCCGUCACAAUAGGAAAUUCAGAGGAAAGCAAACAAAUUCGACGUCACAAUCGGAUUUUAACCAAUGAUGUACUGAGAUCAAACGAACCACACGUUGAUUAAAUUUUUUUAUACAAUGGGUGCAGAAAGGGAUAAAUUGACGAAGAAUUAGAGAAAUGAAUAUAUAGGUUGAUCCACUGUCAAAUGUCACUGUAACAACCCUUCUUUUUUGUUGAAUGUGGUGUCACGAAGGCGAUUUUCAGCGAAUUAUUUCUUGCAUUAGAUAACACGAUGAGUGAUAGAAGUGGAACAGAAACUAAUUACACUUGGACUAUUUUCAGCUUUUGAUUGAGUCCUGGUUGCUCAAUCUCUGGUUUUGCGUGUAUUGUUUUGUUGAAUGUUAUUUGUCUUUGAGCCAUAUUUCUUUUCUUCCAAUACUGAAAAUACUUAAGUUUUAGAUAAGUCGAAUUUUAAAUGACAUGAUUUAUAUUCCAGCUAGUGUUAAUUUCAUGUAUCAAAUAUUAUUACAUCAUAACGUACAGAUAGUUUUCCUGUCUGUGUUGUCAAUUUUAAGAUUGUGUUAUAGGGUUUUCUAUAAUUGAUGGCAUUUCUUUGUUUUAAGUUAUGUCGAUAGGAGGAAUUUAACAGGAUGAAGUAUGUUAAGUGUUUUGUUUCGCCUCUUUUUAUGCGAAAUAAUAAAUUCUUAAUUGUUUCCACAAUAUAUUAAAUCUUUCUGCAAUGUAUAUGUUCUGAACCAAUAAAUGCAUCAAUAUCAAAGUUAUCACAUAGCAUCAAACAUUUCUCGUAAUCUGAAUGUAUAUAAAGUACUUCAACAAAUAUGUUGUGCGUCAUGUUUGAAAAAGUUCGAUAUUAAAAACAAGUUAACAACUAUAAUAAAAUAUUACUAGUAUUAUGUAACUAAACAGAAAUCUGAUAGAAUACUGAAAAAAGACACUUCAUACAAAAAUGCUUUUAAGAAAUAAGGUCACCAAAUUCGCUUUCUUACACCAUAACAAUAGAUCAGUUAACUGUUUAUUGUUUGAUACGUCUAUAUAACCUCAGUUUUCUCCCUUGCAGAGCUUUGUUUUAAUUUCUUUAAUCGAUAAAACAUGGUUACUAUCAUCUGAAUCUUAUCAAUUUUAUCAUUCCAAUGAAUAGUUCCACAUAUACAAUCAAUUUUGCAUCAAAGUUUGGACAGAUCUUUUUGCAAGGAUUUGCUUUGGCAAAAAUGUCGAAACAAAUUUGAAUCAUUUAUAUCAGAAUUCAGUUCAGUUUGAAUGUCCCUUUUGUUUUUGUUUGUUUCUUCGUUUUGAUUUCUUUGGCAAUGCUGUUUUCGUGUCAUUUUCAACUGAUGCUAUUUAGCUGCCAAAUUGAUAUUUACCAGCAUUUUUGUAUUUCCAAAACCAUUAAAAUGUUGCAAAAUAUAAACGCAUGACACCGAUUCUACUGCACAACACUUGCGAUCUCGAAUAUGUUUAUCAUGGUUCCCAUUAGAACAACAAUUCGAAAGCAAAUAUACAAACAUAUAGGAGAAUUGUAACCAAAAUAACAUAAACAAAUAGAUAUGUCAAUAUGCUUAAAGAAGUAAUAUUAUACAUUGACUGAAAAAAUCAACAGUAUUUAAACUCAUCAUAGAUACCAGGACUUAAUUUUGUAUAUACGCCAGACGCUCGUUUCGUCUACAAAAGACUCAUCAGUGACGCUCGAAUCCAAAAAAGUUAAAAAAGCCAAAUAAAGUACGAAGUUAAGAGCAUUGUAAACAUGUUUCAAAUAAUAAAUUCAUAUAUAAAAAAUUGAAAACAACACGUUAAAUAAAUUCAUGCGUCCGAUGCGCUUUUCUGGAUUUACCUUCAUCAGGAACGCCCAAAGCUAAACAUUUGAAAUUCGAGGGAUGUACAAAUCUACACCUUCAUAAUGGUUUGCAAGAAUUCACAUAUAACAUUUUUGUUUUAAAGAUAUACCUUCUACCGUGUUUGAGUAUAAGUACCACAUACAUUUAAAAAGUUAGUAAGUAUGAAUUGCCUUUCUUCUAUUCCUUAUUCCUCGAUGUGACAGUUACAUGAAUAGCUUUAGCUCUCCCGAUUCCUUCAUAUGAGACUAACUUUGAUUUUACAAAAAAAAACAUAAAUUAAUUCAAGUUAUUAACUGUGUAUGACAUUAAACCAUAGUGAAACAAAAAAAUAAACAAAAACGAGGCGCACGUACACAUAUAAAUUUCCCUUUGCCGGUUGUCAACAAAUAUGAAAUAUAACUAAUAAUAUACAUGUAUUAAAAAAACCCGUUCAAAUGAGUAAUUUCCAAAGGAUUGUUGAUGAGUUUGUUUUAUUUUUCAGAAAUUGUCCAGAGUUUGCACCAUAAUGGAAAAUGCUGGAAUACCACUAGUUAAGUCAGAUUUUCAGUACACACGCUACGUUAGUACAGAUGAACUAGUUGAUGUCCAAUCUAUGAAUAGUUUCAAGAUCAUGGAUGAAAAGAAUAAUUUAGGAUUUAGACUUCGUCAUAGAAAGGAAUUGAUAAGCCACAGAUCAAAAGUGGUCGAUGCGUCGUUUGUUCUUAGUCUUGUAGGAAUUAUAUGUAAUGUUUUCCAUUACGAGCUAGUUUUAGGAGAUGUAAUAAUAUACGACGGGGCAGCAUCUACCGUUUUACGGAUAAUUACCACUAUAACAACAUGUUUUCUGGUGAUUUCAAUCAUUAUGUACAAUUUGAUUGGCAUACGACUACAACUGGUGACAACGGGUCUUGACAACUGGAAGUUAGUCAUUAAUUCCAAUAUUGUUGUGAAAACAUUGCUAGAAACGAUUAUCUGUUCUAUACAUCCAAUUCCAUAUGGAAAUUUUACCACGCCAAUGCUGGUAUUACACCCAGAAUUAUUUAUUUAUGAAACACAUCAAGUACCAAUUAAUGCAAUUUUAUCAGUACUGAUGUUUCUACGUAUUUACAUCUUAGGAAGAUUUCUGGUUGUACACAGUGGUCUUUUCAGGGACACUACUGUUCAAAGUUUAGGGACACUCAGUAAAGUCAAUAUAAAUGCAAAAUUUGUAUUUAAAGCUUUGAUGUCAACCAUGCCCGGGACCAUUCUGACCGGUAUAUUAGUAACGACGCUGAUCGUCAAUAGCUGGGGCGUUAGGAUAUGCGAAUAUUAUUCAUUUGAAAAUUCUGUCGUCAAAUCUCCCGCAGGUAGCUAUCUUAGCGCUGUAUGGUUAAUAGCAGUCACCUUUCUUACAUUAGGUUAUGGUGAUAUUGUUCCUUAUAGCGUUUGUGGCAAAGUAUUUGCCAUCACAACCGGAAUGAUGGGUGUCGGCAUAAUGGCUCUGUGCGUUGCCGUAUUGGCGAAAAAACUUGAACAAACACGUUCCGAGAAGUACGUACAUACAUUUGUCCAGCAGAUCCAUAUGGACAAAAUUCGUCGUAAUGCUGCAGCUGAUGUCGUUAAGCAGUCAAUGUUGUUAUGGCGUCUUCGCAAAAUGGGCUAUAAGCAUACUAGCACCGAUAUAAUUCGUCAUCGCAGGAAAUUAAUUUCCGCCAUCCGCGAAAUGAAUAAGUCCAGUGACGAAAAGUAUAGAUUGCGCGAUAAUGUCGUUGGUACUGUCGAAAUUGCCAAAGGAGUAACAGAAGUAUGUGAUAUGGUUGAAAUUAUUAAAGACAAUCAGGACACCGUAAAUAAAAGGCUUGAAAAUCUGGAAACUUCAUCCGCCAAUAUACAAAAACAACUGUAUGAAAUUCGUAAUUUACUUCGAACAAAUUUAAGAUGA
rnacentral:lncRNA from 1 species